rnacentral:rRNA from 1 species
UGGCGACUAUGGCGAGGGGGAUACACCCGUUCCCAUUCCGAACACGGAAGUUAAGCCCCUCAGCGCCGAUGGUACUGCCCCGGCGACGGGGUGGGAGAGUAGGUCGUUGCCA